rnacentral:tRNA from 1 species
GCCCUCGUAGCUCAGUGGACAGAGCGUUGGCCUCCGGAGCCAGAGAGCACGGUUCGAGUCCGUGCGAGGGUACAA